rnacentral:lncRNA from 1 species
UCCCCUCUGCCAGCACACCACCCACCCUGUCAACGAUGGUGAAAAUCUGCAACCUCUUGUUUACCUUGAUGUCUGGGGAGCCUCUCCCAUCCUUCUCACAAGGAUAUAAGGAGAUUGCAUUCUAACUUGCUUUGAUUACUCUUAGCUUACAUACAGAACCACCUCUUUAGAGGAAAGGGAAGUUUCUCCCAGUUCUGUCUUUGGAAAUGGGAGAUUGGUCUUGGAGUCUUAGACUAACACAGAUAGAUCAUUAAUCACAAAGACUGUCUCUGGAAAC